UACGAGGGGGGCUAAUGUUGUUCGGAAUCACUGGGCGUAAAGGGAGCGUAGGCGGGUGUUUAAGUUAGGUGUUUAAUCCCAGGGCCCAACCCUGGUCAGGCACCUAAAACUGGACAUCUUGAAUAGUGGAGAGGACGAUGGGAUUGGGGGUGUAGCGGUGGAAUGCGUAGAGAUCCCCAAGAACACCAGUUGCGAAGGCGGUCGUCUGGACACAUAUUGACGCUGAGGCUCGAAAGCAUGGGGAGCAAACAGG
rnacentral:rRNA from 1 species